UACAGAGGUCUCAACCGUUGUUCGGAUUCAUUGGGCGUAGAGGGUGCGUAGGCGGUCGUGCAAGUCGGAUGUGAAAUCUCAGGGCUCAACCCUGAAACUGCAUUCGAUACUGCGUGGCUAGAGUGCUGGAGAGGAGACUGGAAUUUACGGUGUAGCAGUGAAAUGCGUAGAUAUCGUAAGGAAGACCAGUGGCGAAGGCGAGUCUCUGGACAGCAACUGACGCUGAGGCACGAAGGCCAGGGGAGCAAACGGG
rnacentral:rRNA from 1 species